UGGGGCAAGGGCGACGGUGAAGUCAUUGUCAUCCCCAAGUCCCGCCAUGCCAACACGGAGGCUGCCAGCCUUAGGGGGCCACCUCAUGGCCCCAGGCGGAGAUGUGACAUAUAUAAAAGGUGGGCCAUCUGAGAGUGUCCCACACAGCUCAGCGUCUCCACACUCCAGUCUCUGGUGAACUCUGUUGGAAAUCCAGAAUGUCUCAGCAGAAGCAGAAGCAGUGCUGCCCCCCACCCCAGCAGUGCGCCCCCCCACAGCAGUGCUGCCCCCCGCCCCAGCAGUGCGCCCCCCCACAGCAGUGCUGCCCCCAAUCCCAGCAGACCAAGCAGCCUUGCCAGCCUCCUCCAAAGUGCCAACAGAAGUGUCCACCACCCCAGCAAUGCCAGAAGUCCAAGCAGAAGUAAGCUCUCAGCUUGUGGCCAGAGAAUUCCCAGGAGGACAGAGCAUGACAUCUGUCCUUCUUUGUCAGCCAUCUGGUAUUCCUUCCCGCAUCAGCCAUGUAUGGGCUCACCCUGCUCCUGGAUGCAGUUGCAUUUCACACUUGAAAAAGAAGCUUCUAGGCUGCAGCUUCCUCGAUCUCAAUCCCUUCUUAAUUAGCAGUUUCAGUUUGCAUCUCUGACAAAGAUCUGCUUCUAAACUGUCUAAUCAUCUUUGCUGACAUGUGCCUACAUCACCCUGCUGGAAACCCUGGCGGCACGCCCAGACGCCCUUUCCCAUCACCCUUCCCAAGCAAUUAAAAAAGAAUUCCCCUGGCA